UACGGAGGGUGCGAGCGUUGUCCGGAAUCACUGGGCGUAAAGGGCGCGUAGGUGGCGCGGGCAGUCAACGGUGAAAGUUCGGGGCUCAACCCUGAAUCGGCCGUCGAUACUCCCGGGCUUGAGCACUGUAGAGGCAGAUGGAAUUCCGGGUGUAGCGGUGGGAUGCGUAGAGAUCCGGAAGAACACCGGUGGCGAAGGCGGUCUGCUGGGCAGUAGCUGACACUGAGGCGCGACAGCGUGGGGAGCAAACAGG
rnacentral:rRNA from 1 species